CGAUAACAUCACCAACUUCCUUCAAAUGUUCUCAGUCUAGUUUGUUUUAGCUUAUGUAUGUUGUAAAGUGAUUUCUUUUUUGUUCCAUUUUAGAUUAAUUCACACACACACACACACACACACACACACACACACACACACACACACACACACACACACACACACACACAC